CUUCCCUCUGUUGUCCUGAGAAGCACGCUUGAAUCUAGCUCACAGUCGUUCACAGUGAAGUGGGUCAUUGUGACUACCUCCUCUGACUCCUGCAGUGAAGGGAUAACGAGAGGUGCUGGAUUACGGGAAGAACAAGAGUGAAUUGUGAAGUGAAGUAAGAAAUACUACAUAAUACUGAAUGGCCAGCCUCAGUUCGCCAUGGAGUUGAAGGCGGUGAAGAGGAAGGUGAAGGCGAGGGAGAUAAUCAGAACAUUCUUCAUGAUGGCCCGCUGCUGUGCUGGAUCGCCCUCUGUGUUCUCCUGCACCACCACCUCGGUCAAGUCAGAGCCAUUGUCCACCUUUUUAAAGUUCGCUGAGGCCUCCGUUUGCACUGUGGAGAGAAUCAAGUGAGAUAGGAACACUUCGCUGACCACAUCGGAGCGGCGCCGAGCCCCAACAAGAUGGCUGUUGGCACCAUUGUGGCCAGUGUUGGGUAGAACUGAGCGGCGAUGUAUGAAGAGUAACCCAGCAUGCAGACUGC